rfam:Mortierella elongata AG-77 unplaced genomic scaffold K457scaffold_7, whole genome shotgun sequence.
GCCUCAAUAGCGUAGGGGUUAUCGCGUUUGUCUUGUAAACAAGAGGUCCCUGGUUCAAAUCCGGGUUGAGGCA